rnacentral:tRNA from 1 species
UUAAUUGAAACCAAAAAAGAGGUUUAUCACUGUUAAUGAUACCAAUGAGUAUUUCUCCAAUUAAA